rnacentral:rRNA from 1 species
CCUACGGGUGGCAGCAGUGGGGAAUAUUGGGCAAUGGGCGCAAGCCUGACCCAGCAACGCCGCGUGAAGGAAGAAGGCUUUCGGGUUGUAAACUUCUGUUCUCAGGGACGAAGCAAGUGACGGUACCUGAGGACUAAGCCACGGCUAACUACGUGCCAGCAACCGCGGUAAUACGUAGGUGGCAAGCGUUAUCCGAAUUUAAUGGGUGUAAAGGGCGUGUAGGCGGGGCCGCAAGUCCGAUGGGAAAACCACGGGCUCAACCUGUGGACUGCAUUUGAAACUGUGUUUCUUGAGUACGGGAGAGGCAGACGGAAUUCCGAGUGUAGCGGUGAAAUGCGUAGAUAUUAGGAGGAACACCAGUGGCGAAGGCGGUCUGCUGGACAGCAACUGACGCUGAGGCGCGAAAGCGUGGGGAGCAAACAGGAUUAGAUACCCCGGUAGUC